rnacentral:rRNA from 1 species
CCUACGGGUGGCAGCAGUGAGGAAUAUUGGUCAAUGGCCGGAAGGCUGAACCAGCCAAGUCGCGUGAGGGAAUAAGGCCCUAUGGGUCGUAAACCUCUUUUGUCAGGGAGCAAAGGCGUCCACGAGUGGACGAAAGGAGAGUACCUGAAGAAAAAGCAUCGGCUAACUCCGUGCCAGCAGCCGCGGUAAUACGGAGGGUGCAAGCGUUACUCGGAAUCACUGGGCGGAAAGAGUGCGCAGGCGGGCUUGUAAGUCAGAUGUGAAAUCCUGUAGCUUAACUACAGAACUGCAUUUGAAACUAUGAGUCUAGAGUGUGGGAGAGGUAGGUGGAAUUCUUGGUGUAGGGGUAAAAUCCGUAGAUAUCAAGAGGAAUACUCAUUGCGAAGGCGACCUACUGGAACAUUACUGACGCUCAUGCACGAAAGCGUGGGGAGCAAACAGGAUUAGAUACCCCAGUAGUC